AGCAGUAGCCGCGGGAAUACGUAGGGUGCGAGCGUUAAUCGGAAUUACUGGGCGUAAAGCGUGCGCAGGCGGUUAUAUAAGACAGAUGUGAGAUCCCCGGGCUCAACCUGGGACCUGCAUUUGCGACUGUAUAGCUAGAGUACGGUAGAGGGGGAUGGAAUUCCGCGUGUAGCAGUGAAAUGCGUAGAUAUGCGGAGGAACACCGAUGGCGAAGGCAAUCCCCUGGACCUGUACUGACGCUCAUGCACGAAAGCGCGGGGAGCAAACAGGAUUAGAUACCCCGUAGUCCCUGUCUCUUAUACA
rnacentral:rRNA from 1 species